UGAUUUCCUUAGUACGGCGAGUGAAAGGAAAAGUCCAUCGCAAAGGUAAUACAACCUUUUGUUGUUGUAUUACGGUGCUGCGUAUGUUCACUAGAGUGCUAAUGCAUAGUAGAUAAAGCUUGUUUGCAAAUCCUAUUGAAUGGGGUUAUCUAUCCAAAGUUGGUGCAAGACCAAUAGCGAACACUUUUACUCCAUCUACUAUGAUUACUCUAUUGUGAAACAGAGUUAGUUUGCUUGAGAGUGCAAACUGAAGUAGAAGGUAAACUUCUUCUAAGACUAAAUACGAUGGUAAUACCGAUAGCAAACAAGUACCGUGAGGGAAAGUUGCAAAGAACUUUGAAGAGAGAGUUCAAAAGGACGUGAAACUGUUUUCAGGGAAACGGUUGGAACCACGAAGUGUAACUUGGCUAGAGAAUUCAAUUUCUUUUGAAUGUAAUUUAAGCACUGUUUAUGCUGUAUCAACUUAUGCUUAUACAGUACAGUGUUUAAAAAAACUAUACAUUUCAAGAGGGAUGCAUUUUCUUAUAGCUAUAGUUCGAACCUCGACUUAUGGGAGCCAUGUAUUGGUCUAUGUUAGCUUAGUAGAUGUGCUUGGUAAAACAGGUA
rnacentral:rRNA from 1 species